rnacentral:rRNA from 1 species
GAUGAACGCUGGCGGCGUGCCUAAUACAUGCAAGUCGAGCGAACAGACGAGGAGCUUGCUCCUCUAAUGUUAGCGGCGGACGGGUGAGUAACACGUGGAUAACCUACCUAUAAGACUGGGAUAACUUCGGGAAACCGGAGCUAAUACCAGAUAACAUGUUGAACCUCAUGGUUCAACAGUGAAAGACGGUCUUGCUGUCACUUAUAGAUGGAUCCGCGCCGCAGUAGCUAGUUGGUCAGGUAACGGCUUACCAAGGCAACGAUGCGCAGCCGACCUGAGAGGUUGAUCGGCCACACUGGAACUGAGCCACGGUCCAGACUCCUACGGGAGGCAGCAGUAGGGAAUCUUCCGCAAUGGGCGAAAGCCUGACGGAGCAACGCCGCGUGAGUGAAGAAGGUCUUCGGAUCGUAAAACUCUGUUAUUAGGGAAGAACAAAUGUGUAAGUAACUAUGCACGUCUUGACGGUACCUAAUCAGAAAGCCACGGCUAACUACGUG